AUGUUCCUGCUCUGUACGCGAACUCAAACAGCUUUUAUAACCCUACAAGUUAUGAAACGGGAGCUCGGCUCCCGCGGCGGGUUUGCAGGCCUCCCGGUACUUUCGGGUGCCGGAUGUUGGAAGCGCAAUGCCGUGGGGAGGGCACCCACCUGCUUUUUUUGUUGCAGGUUAUCAUAGGCUGUUGUACGGCAGAGCGGGAAUCUU
rnacentral:other from 1 species